UAGGUAGGGUGUUUAAUUGAUGAAGGAAAAGACGAAAGCAGGAAGAUUGGUGGCUCAGUGGCGAUUAAUCGACCGCGAGGAAGGGUGAGACAGUCGAUCUCCGAUAGUAUCUUCAUCCUCGUCUUCAGUAGUAAUCGAGGAAUAAUUGAAGUAGAAUGAUGGUGAUGUUGCUCUUGUGUUGGCACUGGACACGAAAACACCCACCUUUAGUGGUGUGUUCUUCACUUGCUUCAAUUGAUUGGAAAAGAACAAGAAAGAAUUGGGUUGUUGCUUCUUUUUGUUUGCUGGAAAACACAACAUCACUCCCAAUGGAUGUGUUCUUUGGAUGACCACGAUGCACAAAAAGAAACAAGUUGAAGAGAGAGUUUUUGGUGAGUUUGGACUGCAAACAUAUCAAGGAAAGAGGCACUAAUAUGGCCAAUUAUUUAUAUUCAAUUGUACUUGGAUGGAAAGUUAGAAGCAAUGUCAUAAAGAUCAUCAUGUGUAGCUACUAUUUUAGCUAGAAAUGUAAGAAAUAGUCUAGACAUUUAAAGAUAUGUGUACUAUAGUUUGAUAGGUAGAGAGUCGAGAAGAGUAGCUUCCAAUCUGAUUGAACCUCCAAACAAAAGUCUUCUUUGACUUUUAAGUCUCAUUGGAGACUUUGGUGGAAUUGGGAGUUGUUUAGGAGUAGAGUAGAGUAGAUUUGUCGUUUCAAAAAAAAAAUAUGUAUAAGGUAUUUUGUGGUAUAAAUCUCUGUCUCUCGAUUCUCGUGUCA